rnacentral:rRNA from 1 species
CCUACGGGGGCAGCAGUGGGGAAUAUUGGACAAUGGGCGAAAGCCUGAUCCAGCCAUGCCGCGUGUGUGAAGAAGGCCUUCGGGUUGUAAAGCACUUUCAGUGGGGAAGAAAGCCUUGGGGCUAAUACCCUCGAGGAAGGACAUCACCCACAGAAGAAGCACCGGCUAACUCCGUGCCAGCAGCCGCGGUAAUACGGAGGGUGCGAGCGUUAAUCGGAAUUACUGGGCGUAAAGCGCGCGUAGGCGGUCUGAUAAGCCGGUUGUGAAAGCCCCGGGCUCAACCUGGGAACGGCAUCCGGAACGGUCAGGCUAGAGUGCAGGAGAGGAAGGUAGAAUUCCCGGUGUAGCGGUGAAAUGCGUAGAGAUCGGGAGGAAUACCAGUGGCGAAGGCGGCCUUCUGGACUGACACUGACGCUGAGGUGCGAAAGCGUGGGUAGCAAACAGGAUUAGAUACCCGAGUAGUC